rnacentral:rRNA from 1 species
AUUGAACGCUGGCGGCAGGCCUAACACAUGCAAGUCGAACGGUAACAGAAAGCAGCUUGCUGCUUUGCUGACGAGUGGCGGACGGGUGAGUAAUGUCUGGGAAACUGCCUGAUGGAGGGGGAUAACUACUGGAAACGGUAGCUAAUACCGCAUAACGUCGCAAGACCAAAGAGGGGGACCUUCGGGCCUCUUGCCAUCGGAUGUGCCCAGAUGGGAUUAGCUAGUAGGUGGGGUAAAGGCUCACCUAGGCGACGAUCCCUAGCUGGUCUGAGAGGAUGACCAGCCACACUGGAACUGAGACGCGGUCCAGACUCCUACGGGAGGCAGCAGUGGGGAAUAUUGCACAAUGGGCGCAAGCCUGAUGCAGCCAUGCCGCGUGUAUGAAGAAGGCCUUCGGGUUGUAAAGUACUUUCAGCGGGGAGGAAGGGAGUAAAGUUAAUACCUUUGCUCAUUGACGUUACCCGCAGAAGAAGCACCGGCUAACUCCGUG